UAUAUGAGCUAGGAUUUGGUCACAGGCUGAGUUAAUACUCAAUCAAAGUGUGAGAGUUAAGUCUCACAUGUCAAGAUUAUAAAUUAAUUAAAUUAAAAUUUUAAAAUUAAUAUAAGCUUAAUAGUAAAUUUUAUGUUAGUAUAAUUUAUUUCUUUAAGCCUGACCCCAACUAAAGUCUCUUAAUUAUUAAAACAUGAGUAAAAAUUAACUUUAGUUAAAUUAUAAAUCAAUUUUAAUUGUUAGGCAAUUCAGAUUAAAAUAGAUAACUUGAGAACUCUGAGUCUGUUUAACAAAAACAUAUCUAAAUUUUUAGUAUAGCUUGCCCAGUGCUUAUUAGUCAACGGCCACUUAGUGCUAAGGUAGCACAAUAAAUAGUUCUUUAAUUGUGAACUUGGAUGAAUAGCUAAACUCAGAAGACUUUUCAAUUUUGCUGUUUAAAAUUUAGUUUUAAGUGAAAACGCUUAAAUAAAAUUCUUAGACGAGAAGACCCUAAAACCUUAGUAUUUUAAUUGGGACAAUUUAAAAUUAAUAUAAUUACUUUCUACUCUUGGACCCCUCAAGGAUUAAUAAAGGUACUUUAGGGAUAACAGCAUAAACUAGAGGAUGAGCACCCAUCAACCUCUUUGUAUGUGACCUCGAUGUUGAAUUAAGAACCCUUCUUAAGCACAAAUAAGAAAGGGGUAGUCUGUUCGACUAAAAUUUCUUACAUGAUUUGAGUUAAGAUCGACGCAAGACAGAUUGGAUUCUAUCUAGAAUUUUCCAAAGCCUUCCUAGUACGAAAGGAACGCUAGGCUAUUUACAAGAAAUGGGCCAAAGAAAGUGGUUAAUCAACCAGAUGCUUCAGCUAUAGUAGACAACCGUUAGUAUAAAAGAUAAAUAAGUAGAUUACUGUGCGAUAAACUGUGUAAAGAGAUUACCGAAGGUAAAAA
rnacentral:rRNA from 1 species